GGGCGCAAGNCCUGAUGCAGCGACGCCGCGUGAGGGAUGGAGGCCUUCGGGUUGUAAACCUCUUUUAUCGGGGAGCAAGCGUGAGUGAGUUUACCCGUUGAAUAAGCACCGGCUAACUACGUGCCAGCAGCCGCGGUAAUACGUAGGGUGCAARMRWNNAWCCGGAAUUAUUGGGCGUAAAGGGCUCGUAGGCGGUUCGUCGCGUCCGGUGUGAAAGUCCAUCGCUUAACGGUGGAUCCGCGCCGGGUACGGGCGGGCUUGAGUGCGGUAGGGGAGACUGGAAUUCCCGGUGUAACGGUGGAAUGUGUAGAUAUCGGGAAGAACACC
rnacentral:rRNA from 1 species